UACGAAGGGGGCUAGCGUUGCUCGGAAUCACUGGGCGUAAAGGGCGCGUAGGCGGCCAUUCAAGUCGGGGGUGAAAGCCUGUGGCUCAACCACAGAAUUGCCUUCGAUACUGUUUGGCUUGAGUUUGGUAGAGGUUGGUGGAACUGCGAGUGUAGAGGUGAAAUUCGUAGAUAUUCGCAAGAACACCCGGUGGCGAAGGCGGCCAACUGGACCAAUACUGACGCUGAGGCGCGAAAGCGUGGGGAGCAAACAGG
rnacentral:rRNA from 1 species